GAGAAAGUCAUAAAGGUUAUGUGGUUGGCUUGAAACCAAUUAUUGGGGGUUCAAUUCCUUCCUUUCUUA
ensembl:Mt_tRNA